rnacentral:rRNA from 1 species
UGGCUCAGGACGAACGCUGGCGGCGUGCUUAACACAUGCAAGUCGAACGAUGAACCACUUCGGUGGGGAUUAGUGGCGAACGGGUGAGUAACACGUGGGCAAUCUGCCCUGCACUCUGGGACAAGCCCUGGAAACGGGGUCUAAUACCGGAUACUGAUCAUCCUGGGCAUCCAGGGUGAUCGAAAGCUCCGGCGGUGCAGGAUGAGCCCGCGGCCUAUCAGCUUGUUGGUGAGGUAAUGGCUCACCAAGGCGACGACGGGUAGCCGGCCUGAGAGGGCGACCGGCCACACUGGGACUGAGACACGGCCCAGACUCCUACGGGAGGCAGCAGUGGGGAAUAUUGCACAAUGGGCGAAAGCCUGAUGCAGCGACGCCGCGUGAGGGAUGACGGCCUUCGGGUUGUAAACCUCU